rnacentral:lncRNA from 7 species
GGGAUUGGGGUACCCCGCUAACUAGGUAGAAACAGGGGCGAAGCUAAGCUAUGCUUAGGGUCACCCCCCAAAAAAUGCAAAGUCUAUAGAUUUAGUUAAACAAAAUACCAUAUAUGCACCCCUAAAACAAAUCUUUAUGCACCCAUAAAGGCAAGUGUGCCCUUCUCAAAUAUGCUCUAGCUUCGCCAUUGGGUAGAAAGGUAGUUAUGUGCAUUACAUUUCUUCACAUGUAUUUUGAAGACACGAAUAGAGUUUUAAAAAAAAACUAGAGAAAUAUAAAAAUCAAGUUACAAAGUAUUUCCAGGGAUCAAUAACAUAUCCAUGAAUUGAACUAUGAGAUAAGGCAUAGGUCACAGUCCACAAGACAAAAUGUAUCAUGAUAAAUUGUUUUUUAGCUGAAUAAGAUUCGGAUAAAGAGCUAGCCCCAUGCUUGUACCACCCAUGUGAAUU